UUACAGGCGGGUGGACAACACCCCUGGAGCCACAGAGCUCGGUUUCCCCCCCAGCGGCAGGAGCAACUCUCAGCAGCCAGGCAGCGGGGCGGCACGGCCAAAGGCCGCAGUCGGGAUCCCAGCCCCGAUUCCAGGGAGGGCGCAAGCCCCACCCCGCAUCUCACGGCCCCGCGCCUCUGAAAGGCCGGGGCCACAUUCCCACCUGAGUACAGGGGGUCUCUCAGAACGCAGCUCACCAAGCACACACGGGGGGCACACACAGCCCUGCCUACAGGACGGUACCCCCACACCUCACCCUCUUCAAGAAGCCCCGCGGAGCACGAGGCUCCCGCCAACGCCUGAGUUACAGGCUGGCCCGCCCGGCAGCAGCAGAACAUCACCAACGUCUCGUCUUUGGAAGCCCAGGGAGCUACCUCGACCCACCGAGCGGGGAGGUCACCCCACACACAAACAGCACCUCAACCUGCACCCUCUGACGGGACAGGGAGGGGUCACUCCCACCAGCUGGACGGCUAAAGCAGCCGGCUGCAACGCUGCAGCCUCCCCACACCUGAUUACAGGGCGGGCGGGCUGCUCAGGGACAGAGGGCUCCAAAGCUUGGGACACACACCCCGAGUACGGGGCCGUCGCAUUGACAAGCCACCAUCAGGCAACGAUGCCGAGGGGCCGGGGAGGAAGAGGGGCAGGGAAACGGCACUACCCUGCUUACAGGGUGGCCUCGGGGUCCGGCGAGCUCCAUUUCCCACUCAGGUGCGGAGAGGUGGCUCUCGCCCUCCGUUACAGGGGGCCACGCUCCCCAGGCAGCCAAAGGAGCAGCAAGGCAAAAGGCCAACUACAGCAAAGACCCGAGCCCCGCUUACGGGGAGGUCGCCCAGCACAACGCCAGCCUGGUCACCAAAGGCGCCGGCAGCUCUCAACUCAAACGUGACUGUGCCCCUGCUAACGGGACAGGUGCUUUGCCCAGGGAGCCUCUCUCCUUCCCCCCCGCAUCUGCACGCUUCCGCUUCCUCUUCUUGCUUGCUCGCUCCUGCCGCCCAG
ensembl:lncRNA